rnacentral:sRNA from 1 species
UCUUUAUGGGGUUAGGGGCUGUAAAGCCUUGAUAUUAAGCACUUUGGGGCUCUAUCUCAAGGUGCUUUUAGUUUUC